UACAGGCUUAACACAUGCAAGUCGAGGGGCAUCAGGAAGAAAUCUUGCUUUCUUUGCUGGCGACCGGCGCACGGGUGAGUAACACGUAUCCAACCUGCCCUUUACUCGGGGAUAGCCUUUCGAAAGAAAGAUUAAUACCCGAUGGCAUAAUGAUUCCGCAUGGUUUCAUUAUUAAAGGAUUCCGGUAAAGGAUGGGGAUGCGUUCCAUUAGGUUGUUGGUGAGGUAACGGCUCACCAAGCCUUCGAUGGAUAGGGGUUCUGAGAGGAAGGUCCCCCACAUUGGAACUGAGACACGGUCCAAACUCCUACGGGAGGCAGCAGUGAGGAAUAUUGGUCAAUGGGCGCUAGCCUGAACCAGCCAAGUAGCGUGAAGGAUGAAGGCUCUAUGGGUCGUAAACUUCUUUUAUAUAAGAAUAAAGUGCAGUAUGUAUACUGUUUUGUAUGUAUUAUAUGAAUAAGGAUCGGCUAACUCCGUGCCAGCAGCCGCGGUAAUACGGAGGAUCCGAGCGUUAUCCGGAUUUAUUGGGUUUAAAGGGAGCGUAGGUGGACUGGUAAGUCAGUUGUGAAAGUUUGCGGCUCAACCGUAAAAUUGCAGUUGAUACUGUCAGUCUUGAGUACAGUAGAGGUGGGCGGAAUUCGUGGUGUAGCGGUGAAAUGCUUAGAUAUCACGAAGAACUCCGAUUGCGAAGGCAGCUCACUGGACUGCAACUGACACUGAUGCUCGAAAGUGUGGGUAUCAAACAGGAUUAGAUACCCUGGUAGUCCACACAGUAAACGAUGAAUACUCGCUGUUUGCGAUAUACAGUAAGCGGCCAAGCGAAAGCAUUAAGUAUUCCACCUGGGGAGUACGCCGGCAACGGUGAAACUCAAAGGAAUUGACGGGGGCCCGCACAAGCGGAGGAACAUGUGGUUUAAUUCGAUGAUACGCGAGGAACCUUACCCGGGCUUAAAUUGCAGUGGAAUGAUGUGGAAACAUGUCAGUGAGCAAUCACCGCUGUGAAGGUGCUGCAUGGUUGUCGUCAGCUCGUGCCGUGAGGUGUCGGCUUAAGUGCCAUAACGAGCGCAACCCUUAUCUUUAGUUACUAACAGGUUAUGCUGAGGACUCUAGAGAGACUGCCGUCGUAAGAUGUGAGGAAGGUGGGGAUGACGUCAAAUCAGCACGGCCCUUACGUCCGGGGCUACACACGUGUUACAAUGGGGGGUACAGAAGGCAGCUAGCGGGUGACCGUAUGCUAAUCCCAAAAGCCUCUCUCAGUUCGGAUCGAAGUCUGCAACCCGACUUCGUGAAGCUGGAUUCGCUAGUAAUCGCGCAUCAGCCACGGCGCGGUGAAUACGUUCCCGGGCCUUGUACACACCGCCCGUCAAGCCAUGGGAGCCGGGGGUACCUGAAGUACGUAACCGCAAGGAUCGUCCUAGGGUAAAACUGGUGACUG
rnacentral:rRNA from 1 species